rnacentral:rRNA from 1 species
CACGUAGGGUGCGAGCGUUGUCCGGAAUUAUUGGGCGUAAAGAGCUCGUAGGCGGUGUGUCGCGUCGGCCGUGAAAACCUGCAGCUUAACUGUGGGCGUGCGGUCGAUACGGGCAUCACUGGAGUUCGGCAGGGGAGACUGGAAUUCCUGGUGUAGCGGUGGAAUGCGCAGAUAUCAGGAGGAACACCGGUGGCGAAGGCGGGUCUCUGGACAGUUCCUGACACUGAGACACGGAAGGCCAGGGGAGCAAACGGG